rnacentral:lncRNA from 1 species
AGGUACUGAAAACUCUUCUUGCCUGGGUCAGCACAGACGCUCAGAGUUGGUGACUCUACCAAUGGUAUCAUCUUUCAAGCUGAAGCUGAGUAAUAGAUAUUUUGGCUGGGAUUUUUCUAGGGCCAUCCUAAACGGUAGCACCUGGUAACAAGGAGAUGAAAUUAACCCUCAUUAGGCUUUAUCAUAAAAAGAGCAUGUUUGGCUGCAAUAGGUCUUCCUAAUCUGGUUUUCAUUCCUCAGAAACCACACAGUGGCCUACCAUGAAUACUCCGCAUCAGGCGGCAGGAGGAAGUGUUUUUGUGAGCUGUAAUUGAAAGGCUAUUUAUACCACACACGCAAUUAUCAGCUCUCUGUUCCUAGCUCUUAAAGAUGCCUAGUUUGAAGA